rnacentral:rRNA from 1 species
AGCUCGUGUCGUGAGAUGUUCGGUUAAGUCCUGCAACGAGCGCAACCCUUAUCCUUAGUUACUACCAUUUAGUUGAGCACUCUAAGGAGACUGCCCGAGUAAUCGGGAGGAAGGUGGGGACGACGUCAAAUCAUCAUGCCUCUUACGAGUGGGGCUACACACGUGCUACAAUGGACGGUACAAAGAGAAGCGAAGUGGUGACAUGGAGCAAACCUCAAAAAACCGUUCUCAGUUCGGAUUGAAGUCUGCAACUCGACUUCAUGAAGUCGGAAUCGCUAGUAAUCGUAGAUCAGCUACGCUACGGUGAAUACGUUCUCGGGUCUUGUACACACCGCCCGUCAAACCAUGGGAGCUGGUAAUGCCCGAAGUCGGUUUAUAAAGAAACUGCCUAAGGCAGGACUGGUGACUGGGGUUAAGUCGUAACAAGGUAUCCCUACGAGAACGUGGGGAUGGAUUACCUCCUUUCUA